AGUGAACGCUGGCGGUAGGCCUAACACAUGCAAGUCGAACGGCAGCACAGUAAGAGCUUGCUCUUACGGGUGGCGAGUGGCGGACGGGUGAGGAAUACAUCGGAAUCUACUUUUUCGUGGGGGAUAACGUCGGGAAACUUACGCUAAUACCGCAUACGACCUACGGGUGAAAGCAGGGGAUCUUCGGACCUUGCGCGAUUGAAUGAGCCGAGGUCGGAUUAGCUAGUUGGCGGGGUAAAGGCCCACCAAGGCGACGAUCCGUAGCUGGUCUGAGAGGAUGAUCAGCCACACUGGAACUGAGACACGGUCCAGACUCCUACGGGAGGCAGCAGUGGGGAAUAUUGGACAAUGGGCGCAAGCCUGAUCCAGCCAUACCGCGUGGGUGAAGAAGGCCUUCGGGUUGUAAAGCCCUUUUGUUGGGAAAGAAAAGCAGCAGGUUAAUACCCCGCUGUUCUGACGGUACCCAAAGAAUAAGCACCGGCUAACUUCGUG
rnacentral:rRNA from 1 species